rnacentral:rRNA from 1 species
GACGAACGCUGGCGGCGUGCUUAACACAUGCAAGUCGACAUUAGUGGCGAACGGGUGAGUAAUACGUGGGUAACCUGCCCUCCUUUUUAGGAUAAGCCUUGGCAACGGGGUCUAAUACAGAAUAAAGGGGGAUGGGCUCGCGGCCUAUCAGCUUGUUGGUGGGGUGAGGGCCUACCAAGGCGGUGACGGGUAGCCGGACUGAGAGGGUGACCUGCCACAUUGGGGCUGACAGACUGCCCAGACUCCUACGGGAGGCAGCAGUGGGGGAUAUGGCACAAUGGGCGAUAGCCUUAUGCACCGUCGCUGCGUGGGGGAUUAAGGCGUACGGGUUGUAAGCCUCUUUCGCUAUUGAACGGGUAGGUGGAGAAUAAGCGCCGGCUAACUACGUGCCAGCCGCCGCGGUAAUUC